UACGGAGGGUGCAAGCGUUAAUCGGAAUUACUGGGCGUAAAGCGUGCGUAGGUGGUGAGUUAAGUCUGUCGUGAAAGCCCCGGGCUCAACCUGGGAAUGGCGAUGGAUACUGGCUCGCUAGAGUGCGGUAGAGGAGAGUGGAAUUCCCGGUGUAGCAGUGAAAUGCGUAGAGAUCGGGAGGAACAUCAGUUGCGAAGGCGGCUCUCUGGACCAGCACUGACACUGAGGCACGAAAGCGUGGGGAGCAAACAGG
rnacentral:rRNA from 1 species